AUUGAACGCUGGCGGCAUGCUUUACACAUGCAAGUCGAGCGGCAGCGCGGGGGCAACCCUAGCGGCGAGCGGCGAACGGGUGAGUAAUGCAUCGGAACGUGUCCCGUGGUGGGGGAUAACCCGGCGGAAAGCCGGGCUAAUACCGCAUAUGCUCUGAGGAGGAAAGUGGGGGACCCGCAAGGGCCUCACGCCAUGGGAGCGGCCGAUGUCCGAUUAGCUUGUUGGUGGGGAAUGGCUUACCAAGGCGACGAUCGGUAGCUGGUCUGAGAGGAUGAUCAGCCACACUGGGACUGAGACACGGCCC
rnacentral:rRNA from 1 species